rnacentral:rRNA from 1 species
GCAACUCGCCUGCAUGAAGUCGGAAUUGCUAGUAAUCGCAGAUCAGCAUGCUGCGGUGAAUACGUUCCCGGGCCUUGUACACACCGCCCGUCACACCAUGGGAGUCGGUAACACCCGAAGUCGGUAGCCUAACCGUAAGGAGGGCGCCGCCGAAGGUGGGGAUUGAUGACUGGGGUGAAGUCGUAACAAGGUAUC